AGUGAACGCUGGCGGUAGGCCUAACACAUGCAAGUCGAACGGCAGCACAGUAAGAGCUUGCUCUUACGGGUGGCGAGUGGCGGACGGGUGAGGAAUACAUCGGAAUCUACUUUUUCGUGGGGGACAACGCAGGGAAACUUACGCUAAUACCGCAUACGACCUACGGGUGAAAGCAGGGGAUCUUCGGACCUUGCGCGAUUGAAUGAGCCGAUGUCGGAUUAGCUAGUUGGCGGGGUAAAGGCCCACCAAGGCGACGAUCCGUAGCUGGUCUGAGAGGAUGAUCAGCCACACUGGAACUGAGACACGGUCCAGACUCCUACGGGAGGCAGCAGUGGGGAAUAUUGGACAAUGGGCGCAAGCCUGAUCCAGCCAUACCGCGUGGGUGAAGAAGGCCUUCGGGUUGUAAAGCCCUUUUGUUGGGAAAGAAAAGCAGCAGGUUAAUACCCCGCUGUUCUGACGGUACCCAAAGAAUAAGCACCGGCUAACUUCGUG
rnacentral:rRNA from 1 species